GCCGAGGUGGCUUAGGCUGGUUAUAGCGCUCGGCUCAUACGAAACCGAGAGGUCGGGGGUUCGAGUCCCCCCCUCGGCA
rnacentral:tRNA from 1 species